rnacentral:rRNA from 1 species
AGUGAACGCUGGCGGUAUGCCUAACACAUGCAAGUCGAACGGCAGCACAGUAAGAUCUUGCUCUUCCCGUUGGCGAGUGGCUUACGGAUCAGUAGUACAUCCGCCUCUACUUUUUCGUGGGGGAUAACGUAGGGAAACUUACUCUAAUACCGCAUACGACCUACGGUUGAAAGCAGGAGAUCUUCUGCCCUUGCGCUUUUUAAUGCGCCGAUGUCGGAUUAGGUAGUUGGCGGGGUCAAGGCCCACCACGGCGACGAUCCGUAGCUGGUCUGAGAGGAUGACCAGCAACACUGAGACUGAGAGACGGGCCAGAGGCCGACAGGAGGCAGCAGUGGGGAAUAUUGGAAGAGGGGCGCAAGACUGAUCCAGACAUGCAGGGCGGGUGAAGAAGGGCUGCGGGUGGUAAAACCCUUUUGGUGGGAAAGAAAAGCAGCAGGUUAAUAACCGGAUGUUCUGACGGUACCUAAAGAAUAAGCACCGGCUAACUACGUG